rnacentral:lncRNA from 1 species
UUCCCUUUACGGCCUCGUUUCUAAUAAACGAUCGUCCACAAAAUUAUAACAAAAUUAUAUUUGUGACGAGCUCAAAGUCCUCGUCGAUACGAGUGCCUCUUCGAAAUUUCCAAUUUCCAAAAUUGGAAACUUCCAAUUCAGUGGACUUGCUAAAUCGGGAAACUUCCCAAUUUAGAAAGUUCACUAAAUUCCGCAUUUCUCCUUUUCUCCACGUUUAUUCCAAUUCGCAAUUCACAAUUACGAAUCUUGGAUUCAAUCAUAUCGACAUCCAAUCGUUCAAAGAUUAACACAUUAAUCUAUGCUUGUUGUUAUCAAGGAUCUAUAUUACACGAGAAGUGUGACCCUCAAUGGUUCAGGUGUAUGCUAGCCGUGGGCUCACAACUCUUUGUGAUUCGAACAACACAUUGUUCUUAUACGAACUCCUCCCAAGAGUCCCGAUUAGAGUAGAACUCAUUUUACCUAAUCCCGAUCAAAUCGGUGCCCAACGAAUCAAGAUUGGCGUCUAGCAACUACGCAUCAUGAUUCCCUAGAUACAAAUGAAGUGCCUGCAAGAACCUUAUGAUAUAGUUAGCGUACAGUACGAUCCCUUCGUAGCACAUGUCCCGAUUGAACUAGAGGCAUUGGUUCACCGAGACCUCUUAUAAAGUUCAAUAACCGUGCGAACGUUCUAGGUAUUAUAAAUCCGUUCGUGUGCGACUUAGGGAAACACAUUUC